rnacentral:rRNA from 1 species
GAUGAACGCUGGCGGCGUGCCUAAUACAUGCAAGUCGAGCGAACGGACGAGAAGCUUGCUUCUCUGAUGUUAGCGGCGGACGGGUGAGUAACACGUGGAUAACCUACCUAUAAGACUGGGAUAACUUCGGGAAACCGGAGCUAAUACCGGAUAAUAUUUUGAACCGCAUGGUUCAAAAGUGAAAGACGGUCUUGCUGUCACUUAUAGAUGGAUCCGCGCUGCAUUAGCUAGUUGGUAAGGUAACGGCUUACCAAGGCAACGAUGCAUAGCCGACCUGAGAGGGUGAUCGGCCACACUGGAACUGAGACACGGUCCAGACUCCUACGGGAGGCAGCAGUAGGGAAUCUUCCGCAAUGGGCGAAAGCCUGACGGAGCAACGCCGCGUGAGUGAUGAAGGUCUUCCGAUCGUAAAACUCUGUUAUUAGGGAAGAACAUAUGUGUAAGUAACUGUGCACAUCUUGACGGUACCUAAUCAGAAAGCCACGGCUAACUACGUGCCAGCAGCCGCGGUAAUACGUGGGUGGCAAGCGUUAUCCGGAAUUAUUGGGCGUAAAGCGCGCGUAAGCCGGUUUUUUAGUCUGAUGUGAAAGCCCACGGCUCAACCGUGGAGGGUCAUUGGAAACUGGAAAACUUGAGUGCAGAAGAGGAAAGUGGAAUUCCAUGUGUAGCGGUGAAAUGCGCAGAGAUAUGGAGGAACACCAGUGGCGAAGGCGACUUUCUGGUCUGUAACUGACGCUGAUGUGCGAAAGCGUGGGGAUCAAACAGGAUUAGAUACCCUGGUAGUCCACGCCGUAAACGAUGAGUGCUAAGUGUUAGGGGGUUUCCGCCCCUUAGUGCUGCAGCUAACGCAUUAAGCACUCCGCCUGGGGAGUACGACCGCAAGGUUGAAACUCAAAGGAAUUGACGGGGACCCGCACAAGCGGUGGAGCAUGUGGUUUAAUUCGAAGCAACGCGAAGAACCUUACCAAAUCUUGACAUCCUUUGACGACUCUAGAGAUAGAGCCUUCCCCUUCGGGGGACAAAGUGACAGGUGGUGCAUGGUUGUCGUCAGCUCGUGUCGUGAGAUGUUGGGUUAAGUCCCGCAACGAGCGCAACCCUUAAGCUUAGUUGCCAUCAUUAAGUUGGGCACUCUAAGUUGACUGCCGGUGACAAACCGGAGGAAGGUGGGGAUGACGUCAAAUCAUCAUGCCCCUUAUGAUUUGGGCUACACACGUGCUACAAUGGACAAUACAAAGGGCAGCGAAACCGCGAGGUCAAGCAAAUCCCAUAAAGUUGUUCUCAGUUCGGAUUGUAGUCUGCAACUCGACUACAUGAAGCUGGAAUCGCUAGUAAUCGUAGAUCAGCAUGCUACGGUGAAUACGUUCCCGGGUCU